GUUCCGGUGGCCAAGUGGUUAGAUCGUCCGCCUCGGAUGCGGAAAGUCAUGGGUUCGAUCCUCGGUCGAGUCA